rnacentral:lncRNA from 1 species
UGGGGAUUCAUGCAUCAUGGGGAAUGUUUUCAUGCUUCAUGGUCAUUUCAAAUAUCUUCUUUUAUUUUAAGCGUACCUGAUUGACAUAAAACAAAUAAAAAGCCUUUGAAUUUUGUGGAAGAGAACCUCCUCCUACGAUCCAUCAGUUCCUUAGCUUCUAGUAAGAGUGUGCUGAUAAUGUGUUGUAUGCUUAUUUAACUGAGCUAUUCUAAGGGAAUAGAGAGAGGGAGGCCAGCGGCAAUGAGAGAGAGAGAAAAGAGAUUUAAUUGUGAGGUGUGUUGUAUCACCCCAUUGUGCCUUUAUUUAUAGU